rnacentral:rRNA from 1 species
AUUGACCGCUGGCGGCAGGCCUAACACAUGCAAGUCGGGCGCGCGGCGGACGGGUGAGUAAUGUAUGGGGAUCUGCCUGAUGGCGGGGGAUAACUACUGGAACCGGUAGCUAAUACCGCAUACCAUCAGAUGACCCCAAAUGGGAUUAGCUAGUGGGUGAGGUAACGGCUUACCUAGGCGACGCUCCCUAGCUGGUCUGAGAGGAUGAUCAGCCACACUGGGACUGAGACACGGCCCAGACUCCUACGGGAGGCAGCAGUGGGGAAUAUUGCACAAUGGGCGCAAGCCUGAUGCAGCCAUGCCGCGUGUAUGAAGAAGGCCUUCGGUUUGUAAAGUACUUUCAGUCGGGAGGCGUUACCUACAGAAGAAGCACCGGCUAACUCCGUGCCAGCAGCCGCGGUAAUAC